GAUGAACGCUAGCGAUAGGCUUAACACAUGCAAGUCGAGGGGUAGCAGGGGUUUAGUUUACUAAAUCUGCUGACGACCGGCGCACGGGUGAGUAACGCGUAUGCAACUUGCCCUAUACACGGGGAUAGCCCGGCGAAAGUCGGAUUAAUACCCGAUAUUAUUAAUGAGCCGCAUGGUUUAUUAAUGAAAGAUUAAUCGGUAUAGGAUGGGCAUGCGUUCCAUUAGUUAGUUGGUGAGGUAACGGCUCACCAAGACCACGAUGGAUAGGGGAACUGAGAGGUUUAUCCCCCACACUGGAACUGAGACACGGACCAGACCCCUACGGGAGGCAGCAGUGAGGAAUAUUGGUCAAUGGACGAGAGUCUGAACCAGCCAAGUCGCGUGAAGGAAGACUGCCUUAUGGGUUUNUAAACUUCUUUUAUAUAGGAAUAAAGUGCACCAUGUAUGGUUGUUUUGCAAGUACUAUAUGAAUAAGCAUCGGCUAACUCCGUGCCAGCCGCCG
rnacentral:rRNA from 1 species